GCGAGAAAACUUUGCAAUGUGCGAAAGCACGACAAGGUUAAUCCGAGUGGUUUCUGCUAAAGAAACCUUUUGUCAGUCCUAGAAACACUAACGAAUAAGGGGUGGCAAGUUCUGGUGUCAGCCGCCGCGGUAAAACCAGCACCUCAAGUGGUCAGGAUGAUUAUUGGGCCUAAAGCAUCCGUAGCUCGUUUUGUAAGUUUUCGGUUAAAUCCAUGCGCUUAACGUAUGGGCUGCCGGGAAUACUGCAUAACUAGGAAGUGGGAGAGGUAGACGGUACUCGGUAGGAAGGGGUAAAAUCCUUUGAUCUAUUGAUGACCACCUGUGGCGAAGGCGGUCUACCAGAACACGUUCGACGGUGAGGGAUGAAAGCUGGGGGAGCAAACCGGAUUAGAUACCCCCGUAGUCCCUGAGCGGGCUGGCAAGGCGCAU
rnacentral:rRNA from 1 species